rnacentral:rRNA from 1 species
UGGGAAUCUUGGACAAUGGGGGAAACCCUGAUCCAGCCAUGCCGCGUGAGUGAUGAAGGCCUUAGGGUUGUAAAGCUCUUUCGCACGCGACGAUAAUGACGGUAGCGUGAGAAGAAGCCCCGGCUAACUUCGUGCCAGCAGCCGCGGUAAUACGAAGGGGGCUAGCGUUGUUCGGAAUUACUGGGCGUAAAGCGCGCGCAGGCGGGUCAUCAAGUCAGAGGUGAAAGCCCGGAGCUUAACUCCGGAAUAGCCUUUGAAACUGUUGGUCUUGAGUACGGGAGAGGUUAGUGGAAUUCCCAGUGUAGAGGUGAAAUUCGUAGAUAUUGGGAAGAACACCAGUGGCGAAGGCGGCUCACUGGCCCGUUACUGACGCUCAGGCGCGAUAGUGUGGGGAUCAAACA